UACGUAGGGUGCAAGCGUUGUCCGGAAUUAUUGGGCGUAAAGAGCUUGUAGGCGGUUUGUCGCGUCUGCUGUGAAAUUUCGGGGCUCAACCCCCGAACUUGCAGUGGGUACGGGCAGACUAGAGUGUGGUAGGGGAGACUGGAAUCCUGGUGUAGCGGUGAAAUGCGCAGAUAUCAGGAGGAACACCGGUGGCGAAGGCGGGGUCUCCGUGGGGCAAGCAACUGACGCUGAGGAGCGAAAGCGUGGGGAGCGAACAGG
rnacentral:rRNA from 1 species